rnacentral:misc_RNA from 1 species
AUACUAAAAGCAAAGCUGAAAUCCAAAACUCUAAGUCCGAGUGAGUAUUCGAGUAUCUCCAAAUUAUGUAAAAAUAUGAACCACGUUUACUUUUCUCGAUAUUUCUCAAUACUCAGGAAAUUUAAACAAAGGAACAUCAGCAAAAGCAAACCGACAAAUUAAGAUUAAAAAUCACAAAGCACCAUACAGUCGACUCAAGUUUAUCCAGCGUCUCAUAAACGUCAGCUAUGCUUUCUCAGUUUCCUGGGUUACCGUGAUAGACCCAUGGUCAUCUCGUUGCUGUUACGACAAGGAAAUUAUUCAGUAACUGUCGAUUUCUUUAUGGAAACACGGAGAGAGCGUGUUGAGUUUCAUGACAAGGGAAUCAGAAAAUUUUGAUGGAAUUUUCUAUAAAAAUGAGGAUGAAGAAUAAUUGAAUGCCACUUACAGGUGAAUGUUUUAAGCAUACAUUUGUCGUUAUGGGAUUAGGAAUUUUAUUUUUCAAAAUAUUAAGAAAUACUUGGAUCUACAAGUUGUUUCAAUAAUAUGAGACUCGCAAAGGUUUGUAAUUAGUUUUUCUGCUCCAAAUUGUAGGAGAUAAUUGCAUAAUUGUUUCGGGAUUGUAUAAGCCACAGAAUGUUUAAUUAACUUUAUAUUUCGUCUUUAUCAAGCAACUUUUGAGACAACUUUUAUAAUGAUGAAAGAUAUAAUUGAUAAAAGAGCAAUACAUGCCGCAAAAUAAGAUUUAAAGAUGACAAAAGCAUAUUGACACUCUGUUAUCGUAUAAGACGUACUGCAGGAAGCAAAUGGAAAUCACCAUGGUGCCAGUAUUAAAAGAUGUCUAUACUUACUGACGUCAUUUCACAUACCUGAAUACCAAUUAAAGGUACAUAGAUUGCAUUAUUAUUUAGUGGUACGUCGAUCUUUUACCAACUCGAUUAAUAACAAUC